rnacentral:tRNA from 1 species
AGCAGCAUGGCGCAGUGGUAGCGCGCGGGGCCCAUAACUCCGAGGUCACUUGAUCGAAACAAGUUGCUGCUA